rnacentral:rRNA from 1 species
AGAGUUUGAUCCUGGCUCAGGGCGAACGCUGGCGGCGGGCUUAACACAUGCAAGUCGUACGCGGGGUUCUCCUUCGGGAGGACUGCCGAGUGGCGAACGGGUGCGUAACGCGUAGGCAACCUGCCCUCGAGUGGGGGAUAACCCCGGGAAACCGGGGCUAAUACCGCAUAUUGUCUUGGAACCGCAUGGUGCCAAGAUGAAAGCCUUUGGGCGCUCGAGGAUGGGCCUGCGUCGGAUUAGCUAGUUGGUGAGGUAAUGGCUCACCAAGGCGACGAUCCGUAGCUGGUCUGAGAGGACGGCCAGCCACACUGGCACUGAGACACGGGCCAGACUCCUACGGGAGGCAGCAGUGAGGAAUCUUGGGCAAUGGGCGAAAGCCUGACCCAGCCACGCCGCGUGGAGGAUGAAGCCCUUCGGGGUGUAAACUCCUUUUCUGGGGGAAGAAAUCUUGGCAUUUGUCAGGAGUGACGGUACCCCAGGAAUAAGCGCCGGCUAACUCCGUGCCAGCAGCCGCGGUAAUACGGAGGGCGCAAGCGUUGCCCGGAAUCACUGGGUGUAAAGGGUGCGUAGGCGGGGCUGUAAGUCAGAGGUGAAAUCCCCCGGCUUAACCGGGGAAUUGCCUCUGAUACUGCAGCUCUUGAGUCCCGGAGAGGCCGCUGGAAUUCCUGGUGUAGCGGUGAAAUGCGUAGAUAUCAGGAGGAACACCAGAGGCGAAGGCGGGCGGCUAGACGGGAACUGACGCUGAGGCACGAAUGCGUGGGGAG